UCCAACCCUUUGUUGUUAAAACUACCUUGUUGCUUUGGCGGGACCGCUCGGUCUCGAGCCGCUGGGGAUUCGUCCCAGGCGAGCGCCCGCCAGAGUUAAACCAAACUCUUGUUAUUUAACCGGUCGUCUGAGUUAAAAUUUUGAAUAAAUCAAAACUUUCAACAACGGAUCUCUUGGUUCUCGCAUCGAUGAAGAACGCAGCGAAAUGCGAUAAGUAAUGUGAAUUGCAGAAUUCAGUGAAUCAUCGAAUCUUUGAACGCACAUUGCGCCCCUUGGUAUUCCGAGGGGCAUGCCUGUUCGAGCGUCAUUACACCACUCAAGCUAUGCUUGGUAUUGGGCGUCGUCCUUAGUUGGGCGCGCCUUAAAGACCUCGGCGAGGCCACUCCGGCUUUAGGCGUAGUAGAAUUUAUUCGAACGUCUGUCAAAGGAGAGGAACUCUGCCGACUGAAACCUUUAUUUUUCUAGGUUGACCUCGGAUCAGGUAGGGAUACCCGCUGAACUUAAGCAUAUCAAUAAGCGGAGGAA
rnacentral:rRNA from 1 species